UGGGGAAUAUUGCACAAUGGGGGGAAACCCUGAUGCAGCGAUGCCGCGUGGAGGAAGAAGGUUUUCGGAUUGUAAACUCCUGUCUUAAAGGACGAAUAGAUGACGGUACUUUAGGAGGAAGCUCCGGCUAACUACGUGCCAGCAGCCGCGGUAAUACGUAGGGAGCGAGCGUUGUCCGGAAUUACUGGGUGUAAGGGGAGCGCAGGCGGGGGAGCAAGUCAGCUGUGAAAUAUACGGGCUUAACUCGUAGACUGCAGUUGAAACUGUUCUUCUUGAGUGAAGUAAAGGUAGGCGGAAUUCCGAGUGUAGCGGUGAAAUGCGUAGAGAUUCGGAGGAACACCAGUGGCGAAGGCGGCCUACUGGGCUUUAACUGACGCUGAGGCUCGAAAGUGUGGGGAGCAAACAGGAUUAGAUACCCUGGUAGU
rnacentral:rRNA from 1 species